AGCUUGUUUCGGUUACAGAAUUCUAGUGUUAAUUUGUGUAUUGAUUUACUUAUAGUUAAUCAUUGGACUAAUUUACACUAGAAUUCUGUAACCGAAACAAGCUUCCAGUUUAAAAAAAGGAAUGGCAUCCACACUGACACUCUUGCUAUAGAAGCAAAACUACCAAGCUUUCAAUACAUUCUUUGGUAUUUCAAUUUUCAAAUAUCAGCAAUCACUAAUUUCUACAAUGACU
rnacentral:misc_RNA from 1 species